rnacentral:lncRNA from 12 species
CCCUGAGUCAGUUAUCCAUUGCUAAGUCAUUGUCCUCUGCUACUGGGAGGUUCUGAAUUGUGCUCUGUUUCAGGACAAGGGCAUCACAUCAUGCACAAGAGUGUCUCCAUGGAAGGAGACAUGGACAUCUCUAUCAUUCAAGGGCAGUUUGGGUCCUCUAAGGACAAAGAUAAUAAUGAUGUUUAGGCUGCUGUUGGCAAGGAAGGCUGAGAAGUUUCCCAUGAACCCUAAGUGCGUCUUUGCCUCAGAAGGUCUCCAGGAUCCAGGAGCUGAUGCCUGUGUGACAUUGUCCAAAGUGAGUACCACUCCAGCCACAGAAACAAUGAGAUAAGAGGGGUUCUGUGAAGAAAAACCCUGACUGUUGCUG